rnacentral:rRNA from 1 species
UGUGAGCUCGAUGAGUAGGGCGGGACACGUGGUAUCCUGUCUGAAUAUGGGGGGACCAUCCUCCAAGGCUAAAUACUCCUGACUGACCGAUAGUGAACCAGUACCGUGAGGGAAAGGCGAAAAGAACCCCGGCGAGGGGAGUGAAAAAGAACCUGAAACCGUGUACGUACAAGCAGUGGGAGCACGCUUAGGCGUGUGACUGCGUACCUUUUGUAUAAUGGGUCAGCGACUUAUAUUCUGUAGCAAGGUUAACCGAAUAGGGGAGCCGAAGGGAAACCGAGUCUUAACUGGGCGUUAAGUUGCAGGGUAUAGACCCGAAACCCGGUGAUCUAGCCAUGGGCAGGUUGAAGGUUGGGUAACACUAACUGGAGGACCGAACCGACUAAUGUUGAAAAAUUAGCGGAUGACUUGUGGCUGGGGGUGAAAGGCCAAUCAAACCGGGAGAUAGCUGGUUCUCCCCGAAAGCUAUUUAGGUAGCGCCUCGUGAAUUCAUCUCCGGGGGUAGAGCACUGUUUCGGCAAGGGGGUCAUCCCGACUUACCAACCCGAUGCAAACUGCGAAUACCGGAGAAUGUUAUCACGGGAGACACACGGCGGGUGCUAACGUCCGUCGUGAAGAGGGAAACAACCCAGACCGCCAGCUAAGGUCCCAAAGUCAUGGUUAAGUGGGAAACGAUGUGGGAAGGCCCAGACAGCCAGGAUGUUGGCUUAGAAGCAGCCAUCAUUUAAAGAAAGCGUAAUAGCUCACUGGUCGAGUCGGCCUGCGCGGAAGAUGUAACGGGGCUAAACCAUGCACCGAAGCUGCGGCAGCGACGCUUAUGCGUUGUUGGGUAGGGGAGCGUUCUGUAAGCCUGUGAAGGUGUGCUGUGAGGCAUGCUGGAGGUAUCAGAAGUGCGAAUGCUGACAUAAGUAACGAUAAAGCGGGUGAAAAGCCCGCUCGCCGGAAGACCAAGGGUUCCUGUCCAACGUUAAUCGGGGCAGGGUGAGUCGACCCCUAAGGCGAGGCCGAAAGGCGUAGUCGAUGGGAAACAGGUUAAUAUUCCUGUACUUGGUGUUACUGCGAAGGGGGGACGGAGAAGGCUAUGUUGGCCGGGCGACGGUUGUCCCGGUUUAAGCGUGUAGGCUGGUUUUCCAGGCAAAUCCGGAAAAUCAAGGCUGAGGCGUGAUGACGAGGCACUACGGUGCUGAAGCAACAAAUGCCCUGCUUCCAGGAAAAGCCUCUAAGCAUCAGGUAACAUCAAAUCGUACCCCAAACCGACACAGGUGGUCAGGUAGAGAAUACCAAGGCGCUUGAGAGAACUCGGGUGAAGGAACUAGGCAAAAUGGUGCCGUAACUUCGGGAGAAGGCACGCUGAUAUGUAGGUGAAGCGACUUGCUCGUGGAGCUGAAAUCAGUCGAAGAUACCAGCUGGCUGCAACUGUUUAUUAAAAACACAGCACUGUGCAAACACGAAAGUGGACGUAUACGGUGUGACGCCUGCCCGGUGCCGGAAGGUUAAUUGAUGGGGUCAGCGCAAGCGAAGCUCUUGAUCGAAGCCCCGGUAAACGGCGGCCGUAACUAUAACGGUCCUAAGGUAGCGAAAUUCCUUGUCGGGUAAGUUCCGACCUGCACGAAUGGCGUAAUGAUGGCCAGGCUGUCUCCACCCGAGACUCAGUGAAAUUGAACUCGCUGUGAAGAUGCAGUGUACCCGCGGCAAGACGGAAAGACCCCGUGAACCUUUACUAUAGCUUGACACUGAACAUUGAGCCUUGAUGUGUAGGAUAGGUGGGAGGCUUUGAAGUGUGGACGCCAGUCUGCAUGGAGCCGACCUUGAAAUACCACCCUUUAAUGUUUGAUGUUCUAACGUUGACCCGUAAUCCGGGUUGCGGACAGUGUCUGGUGGGUAGUUUGACUGGGGCGGUCUCCUCCUAAAGAGUAACGGAGGAGCACGAAGGUUGGCUAAUCCUGGUCGGACAUCAGGAGGUUAGUGCAAUGGCAUAAGCCAGCUUGACUGCGAGCGUGACGGCGCGAGCAGGUGCGAAAGCAGGUCAUAGUGAUCCGGUGGUUCUGAAUGGAAGGGCCAUCGCUCAACGGAUAAAAGGUACUCCGGGGAUAACAGGCUGAUACCGCCCAAGAGUUCAUAUCGACGGCGGUGUUUGGCACCUCGAUGUCGGCUCAUCACAUCCUGGGGCUGAAGUAGGUCCCAAGGGUAUGGCUGUUCGCCAUUUAAAGUGGUACGCGAGCUGGGUUUAGAACGUCGUGAGACAGUUCGGUCCCUAUCUGCCGUGGGCGCUGGAGAACUGAGGGGGGCUGCUCCUAGUACGAGAGGACCGGAGUGGACGCAUCACUGGUGUUCGGGUUGUCAUGCCAAUGGCACUGCCCGGUAGCUAAAUGCGGAAGAGAUAAGUGCUGAAAGCAUCUAAGCACGAAACUUGCCCCGAGAUGAGUUCU